AACGAACGCUGGCGGCGUGCCUAACACAUGCAAGUCGAACGAAACCUUCGGGUCUAGUUGCGCACGUGUGCGUAACGCGGGGUAACCUACCCUUAGGUUCGGAAUAACUCCCCGAGAGGUGUCCUAAUGCCGGAUAAUGUCUUCGUACCAAGGAGUUAUCGCCUUUGGGUGGGCCCUCGUUGGUUUAGCUGGUUGGUAGGGUAAAAGCAGACCAAGGCGACGAUCCAGAGCUGGUCUGAGAGGAUGCUAAGCCACAAUUGGAAUGAGACACGGCCCAGCCUCCGACGCGACGCAGCAGUAGGUAACACUGGACACGGGGCGCAAGUGCGACAAAGCCAUGCCGGGUGAGUGAUGCAGGCCGUAGGGUUCUAAAGCCGCUUUACACGGGAUGAUAAUGACAGUAACGGGAGAAUAAGCUCCGGCUAACUACGUG
rnacentral:rRNA from 1 species